GCCUUCCAAGGGGAGUGUGGGGGCAAAAGACGUAUCUGGCUUCAAGACUAAGCUUGGACAGAAAAUCCAUUUCCCAGACAGUUCUAAUGAAGAAAUCCAUGAGUGGAGCAGAGGUGCUCAACGUUACUCACGUUCGUAAGUCCCUUGCUGAACUGCAGCCCAAAUGAACUUAGGGAUGGAAAGGAUGUCCUUGCACCCUCCACUGCUUCUACACCAGGGCAGGCAAAUUUGCCCCUUAAUGUGGAAAAAUGCAGCAUGAUGCCAGACACGUCUAUGAAUUGCAGUGUGAAAAGAAAAUUGCAUCCAUUUUGCUCAGCUCAGCAAUAUGAAAGUUCACAAGCUCUGAAAGCCAAAUGCACAACUGGCAUCAGUGGGUACCAUCUCCACUGAACUUAAUGGAAUUGUGCCCAUUUGCACCGGGGCUACGUUUUGCCAAGAGACUCUCUGCAAAAGGGGAG